AGCGAACGCUGGCGGCAGGCUUAACACAUGCAAGUCGAACGGGCACUUCGGUGCUAGUGGCAGACGGGUGAGUAACACGUGGGAACGUACCUUUCGGUUCGGAAUAAUUCAGGGAAACUUGGACUAAUACCGGAUACGCCCUUCGGGGGAAAGAUUUAUCGCCGAUAGAUCGGCCCGCGUCUGAUUAGCUAGUUGGUGAGGUAAUGGCUCACCAAAGCGACGAUCAGUAGCUGGUCUGAGAGGAUGAUCAGCCACAUUGGGACUGAGACACGGCCCAAACUCCUACGGGAGGCAGCAGUGGGGAAUAUUGGACAAUGGGCGCAAGCCUGAUCCAGCCAUGCCGCGUGAGUGAUGAAGGCCUUAGGGUUGUAAAGCUCUUUUGUCCGGGAAGAUAAUGACUGUACCGGAAGGAUAAGCCCCGGCUAACUUCGUGCCAGCCGCCGCGGUAAAAC
rnacentral:rRNA from 1 species